CCGGAGCCGCCGCCGCGCCGCCCCCGGGGCUGCGGCUCUGCCCGCGCCGCCGCCGCGCCAUGGGCAGCCCCGCAGCGGCAGCCGAGCGAGGAGCCGAGGCUGGCUGUGCUGGACCCUUCACCAUGUGAACAUGCCCAGGCUCCAAUGCCUCAGCACAGCCCCAUGUCGGAGCAGCCCUGGACCUGCAGAACGGCACAUGGCAGAGUGGCAGUGAGCCCCUAG
rnacentral:lncRNA from 1 species